AUUGAACGCUGGCGGCAGGCCUAACACAUGCAAGUCGAGCGAGCGGCGGACGGGUGAGUAAUGUCUGGGAAACUGCCUGAUGGAGGGGGAUAACUACUGGAAACGGUAGCUAAUACCGCAUACCAUCAGAUGUGACAAGAGUGGAUUAGCUAGUAGGUGGGGGAACGGCUCACCUAGUCGACGAUCCCUAGCUGGUCUGAGAGGAUGACCAGCCACACGAGAACUGAGACACGGUCCAGACUCAUCCGGUAGGCAGCAGUGGGUAAUAUGGCACAAUGGGCGCAAGCCUGAGGCAGCCAUGCCGCGUGUGUGUAGAAGGCCUUCGGGGUGUAAAGCACUGUCAGCGGGGAGGCGUUACCCGCAGAAGAAGCACCGGCUAACUCCGUGCCAGCAGCCGCGGUAAUAC
rnacentral:rRNA from 1 species